rnacentral:rRNA from 1 species
GACGAACGCUGGCGGCGUGCUUAACACGUGCAAGUCGAACGGAAAGGCCCUGCUUUUGUGGGGUGCUCGAGUGGCGAACGGGUGAGUAACACGUGAGUAACCUGCCCUUGACUUUGGGAUAACUUCAGGAAACUGGGGCUAAUACCGGAUAGGAGCUCCUGCUGCAUGGUGGGGGUUGGAAAGUUUCGGCGGUUGGGGAUGGACUCGCGGCUUAUCAGCUUGUUGGUGGGGUAGUGGCUUACCAAGGCUUUGACGGGUAGCCGGCCUGAGAGGGUGACCGGCCACAUUGGGACUGAGAUACGGCCCAGACUCCUACGGGAGGCAGCAGUGGGGAAUAUUGCACAAUGGGCGGAAGCCUGAUGCAGCAACGCCGCGUGCGGGAUGACGGCCUUCGGGUUGUAAACCGCUUUCGCCUGUGACGAAGCGUGAGUGACGGUAAUGGGUAAAGAAGCACCGGCUAACUACGUGCCAGCAGCCGCGGUGAUACGUAGGGUGCGAGCGUUGUCCGGAUUUAUUGGGCGUAAAGGGCUCGUAGGUGGUUGAUCGCGUCGGAAGUGUAAUCUUGGGGCUUAACCCUGAGCGUGCUUUCGAUACGGGUUGACUUGAGGAAGGUAGGGGAGAAUGGAAUUCCUGGUGGAGCGGUGGAAUGCGCAGAUAUCAGGAGGAACACCAGUGGCGAAGGCGGUUCUCUGGGCCUUUCCUGACGCUGAGGAGCGAAAGCGUGGGGAGCGAACAGGCUUAGAUACCCUGGUAGUCCACGCUGUAAACGGUGGGUACUAGGUGUGGGGUCCAUUCCACGGGUUCCGUGCCGUAGCUAACGCUUUAAGUACCCCGCCUGGGGAGUACGGCCGCAAGGCUAAAACUCAAAGGAAUUGACGGGGCCCCGCACAAGCGGCGGAGCAUGCGGAUUAAUUCGAUGCAACGCGUAGAACCUUACCUGGGUUUGACAUGGAUCGGGAGUGCUCAGAGAUGGGUGUGCCUCUUUUGGGGUCGGUUCACAGGUGGUGCAUGCCUGUCGUCAGCUCGUGUCGUGAGAUGUUGGGUUAAGUCCCGCAACGAGCGCAACCCUUGUUCACUGUUGCCAGCACGUUAUGGUGGGGACUCAGUGGAGACCGCCGGGGUCAACUCGGAGGAAGGUGGGGAUGACGUCAAGUCAUCAUGCCCCUUAUGUCCAGGGCUUCACGCAUGCUACAAUGGCUGGUACAGAGAGUGGCGAGCCUGUGAGGGUGAGCGAAUCUCGGAAAGCCGGUCUCAGUUCGGAUUGGGGUCUGCAACUCGACCUCAUGAAGUCGGAGUCGCUAGUAAUCGCAGAUCAGCAACGCUGCGGUGAAUAAAUUCCCGGG